rnacentral:rRNA from 1 species
AGUGAACGCUGGCGGUAGGCCUAACACAUGCAAGUCGAACGGCAGCACAGUAAGAGCUUGCUCUUACGGGUGGCGAGUGGCGGACGGGUGAGGAAUACAUCGGAAUCUACUUUUUCGUGGGGGAUAACGUAGGGAAACUUACGCUAAUACCGCAUACGACCUACGGGUGAAAGCAGGGGAUCUUCGGACCUUGCGCGAUUGAAUGAGCCGAUGUCGGAUUAGCUAGUUGGCGGGGUAAAGGCCCACCAAGGCGACGAUCCGUAGCUGGUCUGAGAGGAUGUACAGCCACACUGGAACUGAGACACGGUCCAGACUCCUAGGGGAGGCAGCAGGGGGGAAUAUGGGAAAAGGGGGGCAAGCCUGACCCAGCCAUACCGGGGGGGUGAAGAAGGCCUUCGGGUUGUAAAGCCCUUUUGUUGGGAAAAAAAAGCAGCAGGUUAAUACCCCGCUGUUCUGACGGUACCAAAAAAAUAAGCACCGGCUAACUUCGU